CACAUCCUCACCAACUUGCUGUUUUCUCUUUUCUCCAUAAUAGCCAUCCUAAUGGGUACGAGCAUGACCUCAUCCUAACUAAUUGCAUUUGUGAAGAUCCUAUUUGCAAGCAAGGUCACGUUCUGAGGUUCCAGGAAGGACAAGAAUUUGAAGAUCCCACAUGCUUAAUCUGAGAUCAGUGCAACGGAGAGAAGGAGUCUGAGCUGGGUCGGUAGGAAAAUACCACCUGUACGGUGACAGGCGAAUCUUAAGGCCCCAGAGAGCCCGUGAAAGGCCUGCAUUGUGGUACGAAGCCUGCAUAGCAACCGGGAAGGGGUACGUAUAGCCAAGUGUCUCCAUGAAAUAGCACAGGAAUGUGCACAACGCCACAGACACACGUCUCAGAGCCUGCGCCAUACUGGAGUCUCCAGUCCUAGUUCUGCUGACAUUGGAGGCUAGAGUCCGGCAGCCUGAACUUGAACCAAGGUUUCCUAAUGGUUCUCAAUGACCCUAAAGAACGAGAGCCGCAGGGGAAAGCACCGUACGCUUGGGACAUAACCCUGCACCAAAGAGUUGUAUCAGGGCUGCUUUCUCUGAGAUCGACACCGCCUGAGACAGACUCCGAACUGGCUCCGCUGGGAAAAUGCCAUCCCUCCGGUGACAGGAAAGUAUGGUCACAGGGAAGCCCCGUAGAAGCCAGCAUCCUCACGCCACAUCUGCCCUGUGACUCUGAGGUAUUACCUGCUCUUCAGCCAGAGCUCGGGUUACAAUGUCGGCACAGCUGGGCUCCAGUCCCAGCCCAGCCACCUGCCGGCCGUGCGGCAUCUCGUUCAACCCACGAGUUGAACCCCCUCGUUCAAUCCAUCUGCCUGCCAUGCUUGCUGCUCUUGGGGAUGCCUGGGUCUUUCAAAAGCCCUGCAGGGGAUUCUAAUGUCCAGCUAGCAUUGACACUCGCUCCCAACUUUUCAUUCCUUACGUGAAAAUGAGAGGAACCACUUAUAAUCCAAACUUAUUUCAUGAGUAACUGUUAGGCAUUUUCUCACAUAUCUCCCAGGAAAAGCCCAGGAAUCCAGCACCACAUAUCCCCUAUUUCAUGCCGAGUCUCUGCUUAGUGGCAGAACCGAGCCCCAAACCCAACUGUUCAGCCAUUAACACAAUUCUUUCCACGCCUGACAUCUAUCAGCAUGUAUUUCUCGCACACAGCCGUUCUGAGUAUUAGCCAAGAAACUCCCAGCACAAUGCGUGACACAUAAGCCAACAAAUGUAAAAUACUUAAUUAGUAACUUGAGAUGGGAAUUUAUUUUAACCUACAUCUUCCCAGAUCUCUUGGAGUGCUCUUUUUUUUUUUUUUUUUUUUUAAGGCAAGGCAAUGUGUUCCUCUUCAGUGAUCACUAGCCGCGUAAAAUUCAAAAUCAGGGAACUUACCUCCAAUCCAGGAUUUCCCAGGCCAACUUUGCUCAGCCACAGUCUGACUUGGGUGGUCCUUUGGGGCCACUACAACAUGGUCUGUUUCCUGGAGUAGAACACAUUGGCCUUCCAGAAGGGUGGGGGUGCUUGGAAGUGGUGGUGACCCCACGCAGCCUGUGCCGUACCCCCUUCGUCUUCGUGUGGCUCUUGUUUCAGGAAAUGUUGGCCUCUUGUCUCUGGUGAUCCGAGUAUCUGCAAUGACUCCCUGAUGCAGGACAGAAAUCCAAGGCUAUGGUCAUGGCCCGUCAACCCAGUGGGCCAGCUGAGGGCUGUGAACCCUCCCGGUGACCAUCUGGAUCAUAAG